AGUUACGAAUAAAUAUCUAGAUAGGAUGUUUGUAUAAAAAGUAUCUAACUUCAGACGUGAAGGCACACCUGAAGCCAAGCAUAUAGUCGUUUAUUGUACCAGCUAUCACAAUCUAGAAAAAUCGAAACGCCAUCCACAUUGGAUAUCGAAAGCUUUGUUUGAGGCAAUUUCACGAUAUUCCUGCGUUUUUCUACUUUUAUUCGCGAAUGUAUGCUUCCUUUCCGAUCAAGAGGCAAAAACGGUUUACCUUGGAAAUUUAAAAUCGAUCGACAAGUGUGAUUGGCGAUUAACGUUAACAUAUAACAAAAAGGAGCUAUUUUCGGUGGUUCCCAAAGUCCUGAUUCAUUUCUGAGCGUAUCGAACAAUGGUGGAUUAUUACAAAGUACUGGAAAUACAGCGAAAUUCCAGCAGUGUUGAUAUUAAAAAAGCAUAUAGAAAGUUGGCAUUAAAAUGGCAUCCAGACAAGAAUCCGGAUAAUUUAGAAGAGGCAAAUAAAAGAUUCAAGGAAAUCUCAGAAGCUUAUGAAGUUUUGAGUGACGAUGUGAAGAGACGUACUUACGAUCAACACUUGUAUCAGAGGGCAGCAUCAAAACCCGGCCGUGGAUUCACCUUCCGGAGUUUCUUUGAUUCUCCUUUCCAGCGAUAUUUCGAAAAGAAGAGACGCGUUUACGAUCAGUAUGGCAAGGAAGGUCUUCAAAUGCCUGGAGGCAAACGACGCCAUGGAGAUGAUUUCGAUUCACACUUUGGCACAUUCGUUUUUAGAGAUCCUGAGGAAGUAUUUAGAGAAUUUUUCGAUGGGAUACCGUUUGAAGAUUUAUUUGCCGGUUUUCAUGGCGGUGGUUCCCGGAGAGGUGCUGGAGGGAGACAUGGUCAUUCGACUAAUAACAGUCUGAGUACUUCUUUCUUUGGACCCUUUGGAUUUGGUUUUCGUUUGCCGUUUGAUGAUCUAAUGGGAAAUGCUAGUGCCGCAGGAAACUUUACCUCCUUUGGUACCUCCUUUACCAGUUUCGAUGGAAUGGGUGGAGGCGCUGCUGUAAAGCGUACUAGUACUUCGACUCGUUUCAUUGAUGGAAAGAAGAUUACAACCAAAAAAGUCUAUGAAAAUGGAAAAGAAACAAUAAUGUCUUAUGAAAAUGAUGUACUGAAAUCGAAGACAGUGAACGGCGUACCACAGUCAAUAACGUACAGUUAAAACACAUCUCAUUCGCUCGAUCUCUCCUUGGCAAUUGAGAAAUUCCUGUCGUCACGAUUCAAACAUCUGUUCGACGAAGCAUCGACGAGUCGUCAAGUCUGUGAGAACAGCCACGAUAACACGAUGGGUAGCCACAAUUCAAACGCGAUCCACAGCGACUAUCUAAAAGCUAGCAGAAUAAAGACGCAUCAUCAUCCGCACACGAGUAAGAAGCACGAUAGAAGUAAGAAGAAAUAAUUUACUUCGCUCUUGUCUCAAGUUCCUUGUAUAUCAAGUUGACUAGUGUGCGCUUCUGAUGUACUUGACAAAUUUGGUUCCAAGGGUAAAUUUUCAUCUUAUCAAUAUUAUUCCACUAUCCAUUAUUACUUGACAAAAAUCCAUAAAUUGAUAAGCAAAAAGAAUGUCGCUAAUCUAUGUACGAAUUAAGAAGGAAAGAAUAACAUACUAUAUAGACGAUCAUAAUUGAUUCACGCGAUUUGUAAACAAUAAAAUUUAUUUAAAGAAAA